CGGCGCACGGGUGCGUAACACGUGGGUAAUCUGCCCUUCGAAGGGGAAUAACUCGCCGAAAGGCGAGCUAAUUCCGCAUAACAUUCCGAGAACCUUGGUUUUUGGAUUCAAAGGCGUAAGUCGUCGGAGGAGGAGCCCGCGCACGAUUAGCUAGUUGGUAGGGUAACGGCCUACCAAGGCUAUGAUCGUUAGCUGGUCUGAGAGGAUGGCCAGCCACACUGGAACUGAGACACGGUCCA
rnacentral:rRNA from 1 species